rnacentral:lncRNA from 1 species
UAGUCGUUUAGCACGUAGUCCCCCGUACUGUUGUAUUUGCUUUUGGUGCAAAUCUGUUUUGGUGAAGAUAAAUAUUAAAUAUUUCUAACCUAAUUUUGAUCGCAAAAUUAGUAAGAGAAUGAACCAAAAUAGCAGAACCAAGCGUAUCUUAGCGCUGGCACUUCGGGAAUAUCAAGAAGAGGAACCGUUUCAAGAUUCUGGUUCUGAAUAUAUUCCUGAAGCAGACCAUGAAUCUAGUUCAUCUGAGGAAGUGCCCGUUUUAGGAGUAAAAAGAGCAAGAUAUUUUUUGGAUACUGGAAAUUCUUGUAAUAUUGAAAUUACUCGUAAAUCUGUUCAAGCACUCGACAAGGAAAACGAUUAUACAGAUGAAGGUCUUCUAAUUACUCAGGAAAUUGGGAACGAUAAUGGUAAUUCUUAUAUAAAAAUGUUUUAAAUUCUUAGUUCUCUAUAAUAAGCAAAAACUUAUAAACAAAACUAAAAAAUAUUUCUUUAACUUGAUCUUUAAAUGAAAAAUAAAUUAAAUUAAAUAUUUUUCCAAAAUGGAAGAAAUGGUUUUCCUGCUGAAGAACUUAACUUUGAAAUACAAGAUAUGCAAGAAAUAGCUCCUUUUGUUGAAGAUAGACAGAACGUUGAACGUAUUUUUUUAGAUAUGGAAGAGUUAGUGGUUUCUGCUGAAGAGGCAAAUAAUUUUAUCAUACAAGAUUCGACUCGAACAAAAAAAAAUCUAGAAAAGUUAGAGCAAAACCAGAAACUUGAAAGAGAAAUGAAAAAAAAAAUAAUAAGGCUGCUGAAAAAUCAUAUACAGACUAUAAAGGUCAGGUGCAGCCAGCUAAAGUGUCAAGUGUAGGUAAGAUAUUGUGUAAAGAAAAUUAUCGACUAAAAUGCGAUUCACGUUUCACGGAUGAAGACAGAAGCUUACUGUUUAACGAGUACUAUGCAUUACGAACUGACAAGAAAAACUUAUACUUAUUUAGUUUGAUGAAACCCACUGAAGUAAAGAGGCCCACAUUACAUGCAGUUCGCUCCAAAUCUUCCGAGUAUUUUUUAAAAAUAAAUGGAGAGUCUCGAAAGGUUUGUAAAAAUGCGGUUUUAUCUAAGCUUGACAUUGGCAGAAAAAAAAUUGAUUUGAUUCGAAAUCAAAUAAUAGCUGGUAAAACAACUCCAAAAAGAGAUGAAAGAGGUCAUCACUACAAUCGGCCUGAAGCCAUACCUGCAGAAACCAAAAUGAUUAUUCAUGAACAUAUCAAGUAAUUCUUAGCAGAAAUGUCCCACUAUUCUUGUAAUAAGAACCCUUUUUGGCUGUAUUUAUCACCCACCUUAUCAAUAAAUAAAAUGUACGAGUUAUACAAAGCCUACUGUGUUAAAAGAAAUCUGGAGACUGUUGUGUCAAAAGUUAUCUACAGAAAAAUAUUUUUUGAAGAUUUCAACUUAGGAUUUGGUACUCCUCGAUCGGAUACUCGCAAAGUGUGCGACUCUGGUGAAGCAACAGAUGAACAUUCUGCGAAAUUUAAGAAAGCCUUUGAACAACAAAAAAAAGAUCGGGAGCUGGCCAAGACUAUUAACAAUAUUCUAUACAUUACUUUUGACAUGCAGAAAACUAUGCCGUUGCCCAAAAUUUCAACUAGCAUUGCAUUUUAUUUGAGACAGGUAUGGAGUGCACAUUAUUAGCACAAACGAGACAAACGGCAGGGGGUAUUUUCAUCUUUGGACAGAAGACAAGGGAGGUCGUAAAUCUGAGAAAGUUGGAAGUUCUCUACUAGCGUUCCUAACUAAUCUGGAACCACGACAAAAACAUCUUGUAGCCUGGAGUGACUCAGCAGGCGGUCAAAACAAAAACUGGUUUAUUAUAUGUCUUUGGCAUUACCUUAUACAGCAAGGAGUUUUUGAAACAAUAGAACAUAAGUUUCCUGAAGUGAACCACACAUUUAUGGAUUCUGAUCGAGAUUUUGUCGGUUGUUGAAAAAGAAGUAAGAAAACAUCAGAAUAUUUACACAGUUGAUCAGUAUGUAAACACCAUGAUAGAGUGCAGAAAAAAAACUCCAUUUCAAUUCAUUAGAAUGGAGGAUAAGUUUGUGGAUAUUAAACAACUGGCUAAUAAAUUAAAAUUAGUAAAUAAAAAAAAACUCAGAGUAGUGAAAAAAUAUUGUUUAAGGAUGUAAACUGGAUGAAAAUUUCAGAAUUUGGUAAAACAAAGUAUAGAUAUUCCCUAAGUGAAGAAGAAAGUUGGAAAGAAGUUUCCAUUCUAAAAGGCAAAGGUACUACAACUCGCCAGUCAACUUCAACUACACGUGAGCUAUUAUCGCCCGUUGAUAAAAGUAGGCCGAUAGCAUCUAAAAAAUACGAAAAUAUCCAACAGCAAAUGGCAUACAUUCCUGAAAACUUCCGUGCUUUUUACCUUGGCCUCAGAAAAGAAGACGAAGAUUAACUAUUUUACUUAUUUACUUUAAAUUACACUUUUGUAGCUUUUUUUUGAAAAAUAAAUUUUUUG